UACAGAGGGGGCAAGCGUUGUUCGGAAUUACUGGGCGUAAAGGGCGCGUAGGCGGCCUUCUAAGUCAGACGUGAAAUCCCUCGGCUCAACCGGGGAACUGCGUCUGAUACUGGGGGGCUUGAAUCCGGGAGAGGAAUGCGGAAUUCCAGGUGUAGCGGUGAAAUGCGUAGAUAUCUGGAGGAACACCGGUGGCGAAGGCGGCAUUCUGGACCGGCAUUGACGCUGAGGCGCGAAAGCCAGGGGAGCAAACGGG
rnacentral:rRNA from 1 species